GACGAACCGUGCGAACGUUAUUCGGAAUCACUGGGCUUAAAGCGCGUGUAGGCGGGCCGGCACGUCGGUCGCUGAAAUCCCCCGGCUCAACCGGGGAAGGGGCGCCGAUACGACCGGCCUGGAGGGGGGUAGGGGGCGCUGGAACUCACGGUGGAGCGGUGAAAUGCGUUGAUAUCAGAAGGAACGCCGGUGGCGAAAGCGACGGACUGGAUAUCUUCUGACGCUGAGGCGCGAAAGCUAGGGGAGCAAACGGG
rnacentral:rRNA from 1 species